CCAAUUACAACAGACCCUAAAAAAUAAUUACAUCAGCCCAACCUAAAGCCCAAACCCAUAACAGUCAAAGAAACCCUAAGCAGAUUGAAGCAAAUCGGCGCCGCAGCAACUGCCCACGUCGCGACAACCGUCUCUACCCACGAACGUGCGCCUCUUCCACGAUCUCCAUGCCUGCAAGAAAAAUUGAUCCAAACAGCAGUAGACGCAGCGAAUAACAUAAAGAUAAGAAAAAUUGUAUAAAGGGGAAAUUUUUUCUGUAAAAUGGGGGUUCCUCUUUCUUUUUUUUUUUUUUCUUUUUUUUUGAUAUAUACAAAAACAGAUUCAACAAAAAGAAAGAAGAGGCAAACAAAGAACAAAAAUACUUCGGAGGUGAUUUCCUUUUUCGUUUUUCAUACUAGUCUGCUUCCAUUUUCUUCAUCUCCUUGGUCCCUCUGUUUUUGAGUCGUUUUUAAUGCGAUUUUUUUAUAUAUUUAUAAUUUUAACCAUACGUUUUAAUUUUUG
rnacentral:lncRNA from 1 species